UGAUGAAGAGAAGGAGGAUGAGGAGGAGGAUGAGGAGGAGGAGGGAACAGGCUCAGCGUCAUCAUCAUCAUCAUCAUCAUCACCAUCUCCAACACUG
rnacentral:miRNA from 1 species